AGAGUUUGAUCCUGGCUCAGAAUCAACGCUGGCGGCGUGCCUAACACAUGCAAGUCGCACGAGAAAGUGGAGCAAUCCAUGAGUACAGUGGCGCACGGGUGAGUAACACGUGAAUGAUCUACCUCCGAGUGGGGAAUAACUUAGGGAAACCUGAGCUAAUACCGCAUAACACUUACGAGUCAAAGCAGCAAUGCGCUUGGAGAGGAGUUCGCGGCAGAUUAGUUAGUUGGCGGGGUAAUGGCCCACCAAGACGAUGAUCUGUAUCCGGCCUGAGAGGGCGCACGGACACACUGGAACUGAAACACGGUCCAGACUCCUACGGGAGGCAGCAGUGGGGAAUUUUGCGCAAUGGGGGAAACCCUGACGCAGCAACGCCGCGUGGAGGAUGAAAUCCCUUGGGAUGUAAACUCCUUUCGAUCGGGACGAUUAUGACGGUACCGGAAGAAGAAGCCCCGGCUAACUUCGUGCCAGCAGCCGCGGUAAUACGAGGGGAGCAAGCGUUGUUCGGAAUUAUUGGGCGUAAAGGGCGCGUAGGCGGUUUGACAAGUCUGAUGUGAAAUCUAUGGGCUCAACCCAUAGUCUGCAUUAGAAACUGUCGGGCUUGAGUAUGGGAGAGGUGAGUGGAAUUUCCGGUGUAGCGGUGAAAUGCGUAGAUAUCGGAAGGAACACCUGUGGCGAAAGCGGCUCACUGGACCAUAACUGACGCUGAGGCGCGAAAGCUAGGGGAGCAAACAGGAUUAGAUACCCUCGUAGUCC
rnacentral:rRNA from 1 species